AGCCAAUCCGCAGCCGAGGAGCGGUUGAUUGGCAGUCAGCGGGAAAGACCCCGGAUCCCGAUUGGACACGCCCCGUUGUGGGCGGGCCCACAGGGCCGGAAUCCGGAAGCGUGGCCGCGCUGCUCCGGCCCUGGAGCGGGUCCUGCGGGAGAGAGCGGGGCCCCGGGAUGGCCAUGGCGGCGCUGCGGCGGCACGUGUUUGUGGAAAAAGUGCUGAAGAGGCUUUUCCCUAGUCCCUGUGGCCAAGAGAAGAGUGGGCCCGUGACUGCAGCUUCGGAGCAACCAGCUGAGCGAGCGGCCGCUGCGGAGGUCACGGGCAGCAGUGUCCCCACGGUGCCAGGUCUUUCAACUCUUAACCUUCUGCCACCGCUGGGAAACCUCCUGUUGCCUGAGGAAUACAGCACGCGGACCCCAGGGCAUUAUGCUGAGCGAGGUGGGUCAGGCAGAGAAGUCCCCGCACGGCGUGAUCCCACUUCUGGGUGGAUGCUGAAGACACGGCAUUCACAGGGGAUGGACGGAGGGUGCCCCGGGUGAUGUGGGGCACGCCGGUCACAGACACGACCGCCGGUUCUCAGGGAGGCGAGCUGCGGGCUCUACCGUUCAGACCAUUCCUGAGACCAGAUCCAAAACGUCCUCACUGCGGCGGAGUGGUCAUUACCUGCGGGGAGGGAGCCGUCAGGAAGCCCCGUGGCGAUGGUUUGGCGACAUGUGUGUCAGAUCCAUACGCUGUAUACAUUGAAGUUGCACAGUAUUUCUGUUGUAUCUCAGGAGGGAUGGAGGAGCAAGAUGACACCAGUGGAAGCGAAGCCCUCAAACGCCUCCAGGCUGUUUCCCUGCCGCCUCCCUAGAAUUCAGAAACCCCGCUUCCAUUCCCUUCCCACUUGGUUCUGUAGAGUGUAUGCUCUACCCUAUACAGGUGUUGUGCUUGGAGGUUUGUGAGACUGUUACUGAUCUCACUGCUGUCCAUGUUAGCUGCCAUGGUGCACUGUGGGGGGCUGUUUCAGAAUGCACCCCCUGCUGGUGGUCUCCAGCAGUCUGACUUUGCCUGUCAGGGCUUCAGGUUUGUGCAGCUCCCUGGAUCUCUGCAAUUGUGAUUUUCAUCACAUGGAGAAUGUUCAGGAACUACUCCUUGGAGGGCUUCAAGUUCACGUAUGAGACCAUCUGACUUUGUGCCUCAGCCCAGAGGACAUGUUGGUGCCAGGCCGUCUCCUCUCCUGUGGGCUUGUUUGACCUCCAUGGGGCCGCUUGCGUGUUCUUACAUCCCAGCCAGCAGGUACGAGUGGCCAGGAGAAGUCCACCUGGCCCCGGAAGCUGCUGUCCCUCACCCAGCGGUGCUCACGGGAGGGGCCGCCUCCCCCAUGCUCCUGCUCACCCUCCCAGCUCUCUCUGGAUGCAGGGAUGCUGCCCGGAAGUGGCCUGACCCUUCCCUGAGGUCGCUGGCCUCCAGGCACCCUC
rnacentral:lncRNA from 1 species